rnacentral:rRNA from 1 species
UACGUAGGUGGCAAGCGUUAUCCGGAAUUACUGGGCGUAAAGGGCGCGUAGGCGGCCUUCUAAGUCGGACGUGAAAUCCCUCGGCUUAACCGAGGAACUGCGUCCGAUACUGAAAGGCUUGAAUCCGGGAGAGGGAUGUGGAAUUCCAGGUGUAGCGGUGAAAUGCGUAGAUAUCUGGAGGAACACCGGUGGCGAAGGCGGCAUCCUGGACCGGCAUUGACGCUGAGGCGCGAAAGCUAGGGGAGCAAACGGG